rnacentral:rRNA from 1 species
CGUAGGGCGCGAGCGUUGUCCGGAUUUAUUGGGCGUAAAGAGCUCGUAGGCGGCUUGUCGCGUCGGCUGUGAAAUCCCGUGGCUCAACUGCGGGCUUGCAGCCGAUACGGGCAGGCUAGAGUUCGGUAGGGGAGACUGGAAUUCCUGGUGUAGCGGUGAAAUGCGCAGAUAUCAGGAGGAACACCGGUGGCGAAGGCGGGUCUCUGGGCCGAUACUGACGCUGAGGAGCGAAAGCGUGGGGAGCGAACAGGAUUAGAUACCCUGGUAGUCCACGCUGUAAACGUUGGGCGCUAGGUGUGGGGGGCCUCUCCGGUCCUCUGUGCCGCAGCUAACGCAUUAAGCGCCCCGCCUGGGGAGUACGGCCGCAAGGCUA